CACGUAGGUCUCAAGCGUUGUCCGGAAUCAUUGGGCGUAAAGCGCGCGUAGGUGGCUUCGUAAGUCCGUUGUGAAAGUCAAAGGCUCAACCUUUGAAAGCCGAUGGAUACUGUGAAGCUAGAGUACGGAAGAGGAGACUGGAAUUCCCGGUGUAGCGGUGAAAUGUGUAGAGAUCGGGAGGAACACCGGUGGCGAAGGCGGGUCUCUGGGCAUU
rnacentral:rRNA from 1 species